UACAGAGGUCUCAAGCGUUGUUCGGAUUCAUUGGGCGUAAAGGGUGCGUAGGUGGCGGGGUAAGUCAGGUGUGAAAUCUCGGGGCUCAACCCCGAAACUGCACUUGAUACUGCCUUGCUUGAGUACUGGAGAGGAGAUUGGAAUUUACGGUGUAGCAGUGAAAUGCGUAGAUAUCGUAAGGAAGACCAGUGGCGAAGGCGAAUCUCUGGACAGUUACUGACACUGAGGCACGAAGGCCAGGGGAGCAAACGGG
rnacentral:rRNA from 1 species